GAUCUCAAUCUCUCUGUAAAUGCCAUGUUUUAAGUUCUCUGUGUUUCACUCUCUUGUUGUGUAUUAACCUCUCUUUUGUUUGAGCACCUCCAUAGCACUUUGUCCUCACCUCCUUACCUGAAGCUCAUCUACAACCCCUCAGCUACAACAAACAUCUAAUUUGAAUAUGUGAUAACAACACUUCUCCCAUCAUUCAUGAAGGCUGAGGAGACGGGACUUGGGAGGGGGAAGGAAAGUUAUAUGGCGGUGUGGAAGGGGACCCCUUUUGGCUCAAGAGCACACCAGUGGCAAGUUGUGUGACCUCUUUAGAUCAUCUUUAUAUCUAUACAGUACAUGGCAGGUGUUGGUGUCCAAUUACAUCACAGAAGUAACCACCUUCUCAAUCAAUUGCUAUCUAA